rnacentral:rRNA from 1 species
CGGACGGGUGAGUAACGCGUGGGUAACCUGCCCUGUACAGGGGGAUAACAGCUGGAAACGGCUGCUAAUACCGCAUAAGCGCACGUGGAGACAUCUCCUUGUGUGAAAAACUCCGGUGGUACAGGAUGGGCCCGCGUCUGAUUAGCUGGUUGGCAGGGUAACGGCCUACCAAGGCAACGAUCAGUAGCCGGUCUGAGAGGAUGAACGGCCACAUUGGAACUGAGACACGGUCCAAACUUCUACGGGAGGCAGCAUG